rnacentral:tRNA from 4 species
GCGAAGGUGGCGGAAUUGGUAGACGCGCUAGCUUCAGGUGUUAGUGUCCUUACGGACGUGGGGGUUCAAGUCCCCCCCCCGCACCA